GCGGGAGUAGCUCACCUGGUAGAGCGACAGCUUCCCAAGCUGUAGGUAGCCGGUUCGAGUCCGGUCUCCCGCUCCC
rnacentral:tRNA from 1 species